UUCGCUCGCGCAAGAAGCAUUCGUCCGUUUCGUUGUCGUUUUUUCCCUCAGCGCAGUCAGUACGCAGUUGAAAAAAGAGGAAAGGAAGCAAAAAAGCGAGCCGUUCACUCCGCUGCCGCCGCCGCACUCAGUGUUUGUCGAUUCAGUUCCAUUUUAAACCGUGGCUCAGUCGCUUGCAAGCAAUUUCUUCAUUCGAGUCGAGAGUUAAAAGUGCUACAGUGUCCGAGUUGUUAAAACUAAUUCCUUCGUCUGUGCUAUUGAAUUUGGUGAAUUAAUUUCCCUAUGUUUUAAUAAAAUUCACCGCUUAUAGGAGUUGGAUGGAAACGAGUUCGAAACUGGUGGAAGCCAAAAAGUCCCUUCGUCGAAUGGCAGAAGAACAAAAGUGGAGUUAGAGAAGAGCAACGUCAAAGUGAAGAGAUUCGAAUGGUUUUGUUCGGAGUACAGGAGUGUUUGUGUGACGACAAGUGAUAAACAACACAUCGCCGACCGGUUCAGGAGAAGCUGAAUUUAAUAUUGUGGAAGAAAGCUGGCAGCAGAAUUUCAUAUGAAAGGUGAAUGGAUUGCAUUCUGAUAAGUGAAUACGUUCCGGGAAGUCACGCAUUGAGGAUCGCUACUGAUAGCGCGUGUCUGUGAGGGUAGAGAAGUGCACAGUUGUUUGUUCGGGAAGAAGAAAGAAGCGGAAAUCCUGCGACCGUCCGAGGGAAUUUUGCACUCCCGGAAGACGCAACCAGUAGUGUGGUGAAUCGCAUACUCAAUCAGUGGCCCAUCAAUUAUCAUCUACAUCGUCAUCACCAUCAACAACAUAGCCGAGCAAAAUAGCAGCAAAAGUGUUUGUGAUAGUGUUGUUUUCUCUUCAUCAUCAUCGUUCCUUCUCGUCUUACUUCACAAUCUGGUGUGUUGGUGGAUUAAUUCAAUCGGGAAUACAAUCGAGAACUCUCAAUGGAAGAGUGCUGCUGGAGAACGGGAGUUCAAUUAGGAUACUAAUUAAAAUAUCCUCGACACUCGGGCCGAGGUCGACCGGACUGAUUUCCACACAGUAGCUGCUAUUCUGCCAUGCCGGGUAGCCGUUCCAGUAAUAACGAUACCGAGCACAAUAAGUCCCCUAGAGAGAGCGGCGAGGAUUCAGAGGAUGAAAGUGAAAUUCUAGAGGAAAGCCCGUGCGGAAGAUGGCUCAAACGGAAAGAAGAGGUAGGUUGCGCAUCUAGUUGGAAUCUUGCGAUCGUUUACUUUGAAAAGGCUAGCAUAGAAGUAGAUUAUUUAUGUGUGUUUCAUGAUGACCUACGUGUAUUAAAGUCC